UGAGGGAAAGGCGAAAAGAACCCCUGUGAGGGGAGUGAAAUAGAUCCUGAAACCGCAUGCAUACAAGCAGUGGGAGCCGACUUGUUCGGUGACUGCGUACCUUUUGUAUAAUGGGUCAGCGACUUAUAUUCAGUAGCAAGGUUAACCGCAUAGGGGAGCCGUAGAGAAAUCGAGUCUUAAUAGGGCGUUUAGUUGCUGGGUAUAGACCCGAAACCAGGCGAUCUAUCCAUGAGCAGGUUGAAGGUUGGGUAACACUAACUGGAGGACCGAACCCACUGUCGUUGAAAAGCCAGGGGAUGACUUGUGGAUAGGGGUGAAAGGCUAAUCAAGCCUGGUGAUAGCUGGUUCUCCCCGAAAGCUAUUUAGGUAGCGCCUCGGACGAAUACCAUAGGGGGUAGAGCACUGUUUCGGCUAGGGGGUCAUCCCGACUUACCAAACCGAUGCAAACUCCGAAUACCUAUGAGUACUAUCCGGGAGACAGACUGCGGGUGCUAACGUCCGUAGUCAAGAGGAAAACAAUCCAGACCGCCAGCUAAGGCCCCAAAAUCAUAGUUAAGUGGGAAACGAUGUGGGAAGGCAUAGACAGCUAGGAGGUUGGCUUAGAAGCAGCCACCCUUUAAAGAAAGCGUAAUAGCUCACUAGUCGAGUCGGCCUGCGCGGAAGAUGUAACGGGGCUAAAACUAUGUGCCGAAGCUGCGGAUGUAACUUUAGAGUUACGUGGUAGGGGAGCGUUCUGUAAGCCGAUGAAGGUGUGUUGAGAAGCAUGCUGGAGGUAUCAGAAGUGCGAAUGCUGACGUGAGUAACGACAAAACGGGUGAAAAACCCGUUCGCCGAAAGACCAAGGGUUCCAGUCCAACGUUAAUCGGGGCUGGGUGAGUCGACCCCUAAGGCGAGGCCGAAAGGCGUAGUCGAUGGGAAAUUGGUUAAUAUUCCAAUACUUCUGUGUAAUGCGAUGAGAGGACGGAGAAGGUUAAGUCAGCCUGGCGUUGGUUGUCCAGGUGGAAGACAGUAGGCAUGCAUCUUAGGCAAAUCCGGGGUGCUCUAUGCUGAGAGUCGAUAUCAAGCUGUACUUGUACAGUGAAGUGGCUGAUACCAUACUUCCAAGAAAAGUCUCUAAGCUUCAGUUACACAGGAAUCGUACCCGAAACCGACACAGGUGGUCAGGUCGAGUAGACCAAGGCGCUUGAGAGAACUCUGCUGAAGGAACUAGGCAAAAUGGUACCGUAACUUCGGGAGAAGGUACGCUGCUGAGGGUGAUGGGACUUGCUCCCUGAGCGCUUGGCAGCCGCAGAAACCAGGCCGCUGCAACUGUUUAUUAAAAACAUAGCACUCUGCAAACACGAAAGUGGACGUAUAGGGUGUGAUGCCUGCCCGGUGCUGGAAGGUUAAUUGAUGGGGUUAGCGUAAGCGAAGCUCUUGAUCGAAGCCCCAGUAAACGGCGGCCGUAACUAUAACGGUCCUAAGGUAGCGAAAUUCCUUGUCGGGU
rnacentral:rRNA from 1 species